rnacentral:rRNA from 1 species
UACGUAGGGUGCGAGCGUUGUCCGGAAUUACUGGGCGUAAAGAGCUCGUAGGUGGUUUGUCGCGUUGUCCGUGAAAACUCACAACUCAAUUGUGGGCGUGCGGGCGAUACGGGCAGACUGGAGUACUGCAGGGGAGACUGGAAUUCCUGGUGUAGCGGUGGAAUGCGCAGAUAUCAAGAGGAACACCUGAGGUGAAGACGGGUUGCUGGGCCAACACGUGACGCUGAUGCGCGAAAGCCAGGGGAGCAAACGGG